rnacentral:lncRNA from 1 species
CAAGGCCAGGCUGGACAGGGCUGGGAGCAGCCUGGGAUGGUGUGAGGUGACCCUGCUAUGGAUGGGGUGGUGCUGGAUGGGCUUCAAGAUCCCUUCCCACCCGAAAAAUUCCAUAAUUUCCUCAUGGGUGGAACUCCCAGUUCUAAGGUGUGAAAUCCCAUGAACAAAUCCCGACCAGCCACAGUCAGUCCAGGAAUGAGGCGCUGCUUUUUUUAUGGAAAAAAGCAUAAAAAGUGAGGCCCUUCCAGCACCUCAGAGAAUGAGCUGAGAGAAGAUAAAUCCUGAUGAUUUAUGGGUUUGGAUCACCUUGAAGAUUCCCAGUGUGGGAGGCUGAUCCCAGGUUUUCGUGGGAUUUAAUAACUCAUUAAACAGCUUGGAAAAAAUGCACUCAGACAACUUAAAAUUAUUUUCCCGAAAUCCCAGCAAGAAUUCCACCACAGCCAAGAGGCUCAGCCAAAUCUUGGAAAAAACAGGGAUCAGAUCCUGGGAUUUGGAUUUCUCCCCAUUGCUGUGGCAGGGAAAAUGAAACAGAGCCAUCUAUAUCCAAACAUGUAUGCAUUUGGAAUUUUUGGCUUCAGUGGGAUCCAAGAGAACAUUCCCUAAAAGUUUUUUUUCCCUGGGAUGUGUGGGGGAAGGGAAGUGUUAUAAAUGCAACGGCAAAUUAAAGAUUAACAAAGAUUAAUUUAUUAUAAAUUAAUAAAG